rnacentral:rRNA from 1 species
UACGUAGGGGGCAAGCGUUGUCCGGAAUCAUUGGGCGUAAAGAGCUCGUAGGCGGUCUGUCGCGUCUGCUGUGAAAACUCAGGGCUUAACCCUGAGCUUGCAGUGGGUACGGGCAGACUAGAGUGCGGUAGGGGAGACUGGAAUUCCUGGUGUAGCGGUGAAAUGCGCAGAUAUCAGGGAGGGAACACCGGUGGCCGAAGGCGGGUCUCUGGGCCGUAACUGACGCUGGAGGAG